rnacentral:lncRNA from 1 species
CAUUCCAAAUCCAACAUACAAGUAUUAUGAACAAGUACUAUUGUUCAUAAUACUUCUGUACAGAACUAGAGUCCAAGAUGGUUAAUACUGAAACCAAAUGCUUUUCAUUAUUUAAUUUUCUUUUUCUAUUUCGUUUUUAAGUCAUACCUAGACUGAUCAUGUUGUCAUCUAUCUGGAUUUAAAAUAAAUACCUGUAAUAUACUGAGAUUGAUUUGGAUGACCGUUACACAUCUAGAAGAAUAGGAUCUUGUGACUUGCUACAUGAAAUCAGGAAGCUCAAUGACGCAGAAGGCUAACAAAGUGCAAUGUCAGAAAGCAUAUAAUUUUUGUGACUUGUUUGUUCCAAACUUAUUCUGUAUCUGAACCUUGUCAGAAUCUGCUUUCAUUUCUGUACCUGACAAUAAAAAAUUUACCACGGAAACCAAAGGACUGUUUUCUUCUUGCCUAGUGGGAUGAAAUCAAGAAUACUUUCUAGUAUGGUGGUAGAUAUUGUGAAAACUGGGCUGUAGUAUAUGAAGGUCAAUAUCUCUGUUCUGAGUUCAAAUCCUGGUGGUUUUCAUAUUGUCUUUUGUCUUCGGCAGCACCAGUGUCAGAAGGGAAGUGAUUUGUUUUAUUAAAACACAGUUCUUGCUAAAAAAAAAAAAAAUUGUUAUCAAUCAUUACUUCAAGUCUGAUUUGUCUAGCAUGGGCUGAACAGAUCUGCAGUUAUAUUGCUACACCUGGAGUAAAAAGGAAUGAUUAUGUUUCCCUGGAGACUAGUUAUUAUCAUUGUAAUUGAAUGUAAAUUAGUAAAAUGCUCAGAACUCUGUCAGUGCCGUAUGUUUGUCUGUUGGCAAAAACUCAGACAUGUCAUGGUGUAUAUAUAUAUAUUGUAUGAUAUCAAAGACAUCAUAUACUGUAUCAGUGUAUAAAUGUCCAGUUGUGUCUACAUCUACUUUAUCAAUUUAUGUAGCAAUUGGUCUGAUAUUAAAAGUUAGAUCAGUUUUAUAAGACGAAUUAAUUUAUUUUUAGAAAAUGAUGAUGAUGAUGAUGUUCUAAAAAUAUCAACUUGAUCCAGAUUGUCGACAUUUUCCAAAUGCAGCAGAAUCUUCUUUUUAUUUCAGUAGAACUAAAAGAAAAGCACAAGAAAAGUCAUUUCAUGUUUACCUUGUGAACCUAACUGUGAAUUGAAGAAUGUCAUAAAAAUAACCAAACAAGUGAAAAGCUAGAAUAAGCAAAAACAAUAUCUCAGAAUUGGCACUUUGGUAAUCAAAAAGUACUAAUAAAAACAAAAAUAAUUCUAAUUAAUAUUGAAUUUUAAUUAAGUUGGUUUUUUUACAACUUCUGGUGAUGUUUUUCUUAGCAACAAAAUUAUUCAAUUUUCUAAAAGUUUGUUGCUCUACUAUUCUCUUCAAAUAUCCUUCUAUUUUUCUGUAGCCUAACAUGACUUUUUCAAUGGUUAUCUUCUUUCCUAGCUUCAGUGACCAUUUUUUUUUUAAUUAAGAAGAAAAUUGGAGAAUGUUACUAUGCUUUCAGAUACAGGAAUAUCUAAAAAAAAAACAUAAAUACCUUUGAAACUUUGUUUAUUUUUCCAUCAUGGAAGUAUCUACACUAAUUUUUGCUUUUUACCAAACAUUGCAUAAUAUAAUGUUAAAUAGCAAAUUGAUAGAAAUAAUGCAGAAGUAUAUUUAGUAGCACACCUUGAAGGUAUACCUCUGUUUCAUUUCUCUUUAACCAUUUUAUUUCCAUAUUUCUGUUGAAAUACUAUGCCUUUAUUACAAUUCAUUUUUUAAAUGCAGAAUUUUAGUAAAAUAAGCUUGCCAUUACAUUUAUGUAUUUGUUUUGCAAGAUUCCCCAUGUGGGAACAUGUUGAAACAGAUAUCGUUAUACUUGGAAAUGGUCACUUUUUGCCAAUUAAGCAUACAUACUAAUUAUUUGAUCUUCACUUUAGUUUUAUUAGGCAGGGCAAGAGGAAACGCAUGGGAUUGAGAGUCUCUGAAGAGGUCACAGAAUGUGUGACCAAAGAACAUUGACGGACAAAUAAACAAAAAAUAAAUAACACUAAUAAAAUUAAAAUUAAGAUCAAAUAAAUAGCACGUGUGUUUGAUUGGCAAAAAAUGACCAUCUUCAAGUAUAAAAAAAAAUUUGUCAUAAUUGAACUGGUAUUGAACAUAAAUUAACAUGAAACUUUUAUAGAAACAUUUAAUUUAGAUUGCUUUAAAAUAAGAAUUAACCUAGAACAAGGGGUGGCCUUAUAUUGGGCGGGUAUUAAAAGGAUUAGAAGCAUAUUUAUUAAGUAAUUUAAUCUAUCAAUCCUAUUAAUUAUCAUAAAAUAAGAGAUUAAUGAGUUAGUAAUUAUAGUAAAAUUUCCUAAAGUUUGCUCUAUAUUUUGGGUUUAAUUUCUCUGUGUUUAUUAAAAUAACUUUUAAUUACAUAAUGAGAUAAGUUUAAUUUAUUAUUGUUUCUUCUUUACAAAAACAGUUUUAUGCUUAAUUAAAAGAAAUUAUAAUUAAAGUAAGGGUAAUAUUACCUGUUAUUUCUGCUGUUUUAAUUGCAUCACUACAUUCAAAGACAAAAAUAUCACCUUGUCUGCAUCGUAUAAUUAAAGCAUUUGAUGGGAAUUACUUUUUUAAAUCUUAGUUUUGUUUAUAUUAUA